CUCCGACUUGCCGGGAGAAGCCAGACGGAGCCUCUCCCUGCCACAAGUCUCUCCGCCUGCCAUCCCCCCCCUUUCCUACAUCCACCCCCACACCCCUCCCAAGUGCCGCCACCCCUCCUCCGCCCCCGCCUCCGCCUCCUCCUCUCCGGCAAUCAGGGGAAUAAAUCAGGGAAGAAAUCGAGAGGGGUGAAGAGAGAGGUAGUGAGAGAGUGCGCGGGCGCUGGGAAGCUCGCCCAGGUCGGUUUCCAAAGUCGCCCUUGAUGGCGGCGGAGGCGAGGCAGCCGCGGCGCUGAGCAGCCGACAGGCGCUGGAGGGUCCGUCCGCCGCCGCCCCUUGCCCGCGCCGCGUUCCGCCCCCGCCCCAGCCCCGCUGCGCCCCGGCCCGGGCGCGCCCGCCCUCCGGACGUCUGCGGUCCGGGCAGAGCGUGCUCCUUCUCCUCCCGCGGUCUCCAGCGCGGCUCCUUACCCCGGCUGGGGAGGGCGGCGGGAUUGAUCUUCGAUCGCGAAGAUGGCUGCUGGCUGCCUGCUGGCCUUGACUCUGACACUUUUCCAAUCUUUGCUGAUCCGCCCCUCGUCGGAGGAGCCGUUCCCUUCGGCCAUCACUAUCAAAUCGUGGGUGGAUAAGAUGCAGGAAGACCUUGUCACGCUGGCGAAAACAGCAAGUGGAGUCAAUCAGCUUGUUGAUAUUUAUGAGAAAUACCAAGAAUUGUAUACUGUGGAACCAAAUAACGCACGCCAGCUGGUGGAAAUUGCAGCCCGGGAUAUUGAAAAACUUCUAAGCAACAGAUCUAAAGCCUUGGUGCGCCUGGCUUUGGAAGCGGAGAAAGUUCAAGCAGCCCACCAGUGGAGGGAGGAUUUUGCAAGUAAUGAAGUUGUCUACUACAAUGCAAAGGAUGAUCUCGAUCCUGAAAAAAAUGACAGUGAGCCAGGCAGCCAGAGGAUAAAACCUGUUUUUAUCGAUGAUGCUAAUUUUGGACGACAAGUAUCCUAUCAGCAUGCAGCGGUCCAUAUUCCCACCGACAUCUAUGAGGGCUCAACAAUUGUAUUAAAUGAACUCAACUGGACAAGUGCCUUAGAUGAAGUUUUCAAAAAAAAUCGAGAUGAAGACCCUUCCUUGUUGUGGCAGGUGUUUGGCAGUGCCACAGGCCUGGCCCGAUAUUAUCCAGCUUCUCCAUGGGUUGAUAACAGCCGAACUCCAAACAAAAUUGACCUUUAUGAUGUACGCAGAAGACCAUGGUAUAUCCAAGGAGCUGCAUCGCCUAAAGACAUGCUUAUUCUGGUUGAUGUGAGUGGAAGUGUUAGUGGAUUGACACUUAAAUUGAUCCGAACAUCUGUCUCCGAAAUGUUGGAAACCCUCUCAGAUGACGAUUUUGUGAAUGUAGCUUCAUUUAACAGCAAUGCCCAGGAUGUAAGCUGUUUUCAGCACCUUGUACAAGCAAAUGUAAGAAAUAAGAAAGUACUGAAAGAUGCCGUGAAUAAUAUCACAGCAAAAGGAAUCACAGAUUAUAAGAAGGGCUUUAGCUUUGCUUUUGAACAGCUGCUCAAUUAUAAUGUUUCCAGAGCUAACUGCAAUAAGAUUAUCAUGUUGUUCACGGAUGGAGGAGAAGAGAGAGCACAGGAGAUAUUUGCCAAAUACAACAAAGACAAAAAAGUACGUGUAUUCACGUUUUCUGUUGGUCAACAUAAUUAUGACAGAGGACCUAUCCAGUGGAUGGCCUGUGAAAAUAAAGGUUAUUAUUAUGAAAUUCCUUCCAUUGGAGCAAUAAGAAUCAAUACUCAGGAGUAUUUGGAUGUUCUGGGAAGACCGAUGGUUUUAGCAGGAGACAAAGCUAAGCAAGUCCAAUGGACAAAUGUGUACCUGGAUGCGCUGGAACUGGGACUUGUCAUUACUGGAACUCUUCCGGUCUUCAAUAUAACUGGCCAAGUUGAAAAUAAGACAAACUUAAAGAACCAGCUGAUUCUUGGUGUGAUGGGAGUUGAUGUGUCUUUGGAAGAUAUUAAAAGACUAACACCACGUUUCACACUGUGUCCUAAUGGCUAUUAUUUUGCAAUUGAUCCUAAUGGUUAUGUUUUAUUACAUCCAAAUCUUCAGCCAAAGCCUAUUGGUGUAGGUAUACCAACAAUUAAUUUAAGAAAAAGGAGACCCAAUGUUCAGAACCCCAAAUCUCAGGAGCCAGUAACUUUGGAUUUCCUUGAUGCAGAAUUAGAGAAUGAUAUUAAAGUGGAGAUCCGCAAUAAAAUGAUAGAUGGAGAAAGUGGAGAAAAAACGUUCAGAACUCUGGUUAAAUCUCAAGAUGAGAGAUAUAUUGACAAAGGAAACAGGACAUAUACAUGGACUCCUGUCAAUGGCACGGACUACAGUUUGGCCUUGGUAUUACCAACCUACAGUUUUUACUAUAUAAAAGCCAAAAUAGAAGAGACAAUAACUCAGGCCAGAUAUUCAGAGACACUAAAGCCAGAUAAUUUUGAAGAAUAUGGCUAUACAUUCUUAGCACCAAGAGAUUACUGCAAUGACCUUAAAAUAUCAGAUAAUAACACCGAAUUUCUUUUAAAUUUCAAUGAGUUUAUUGAUAGAAAAACUCCAAACAACCCAUCUUGUAACACGGAUUUGAUUAAUCGGGUCUUGCUGGAUGCAGGUUUUACAAGUGAACUGGUCCAAAAUUAUUGGAGUAAGCAGAAAAACAUCAAGGGGGUGAAAGCACGGUUUGUUGUGACUGAUGGUGGCAUUACCAGAGUGUAUCCCAAAGAGGCUGGAGAAAAUUGGCAAGAAAACCCAGAAACCUAUGAGGACAGCUUCUAUAAAAGGAGUCUUGAUAAUGAUAACUACGUGUUCACUGCUCCCUAUUUUAACAAAAGUGGACCUGGUGCUUAUGAAUCAGGCAUUAUGGUAAGCAAAGCUGUAGAAAUAUAUAUCCAAGGAAAACUUCUUAAACCUGCAGUUGUUGGAAUUAAAAUUGAUGUAAAUUCCUGGAUAGAGAACUUCACCAAAACAUCGAUCAGGGAUCCGUGUGCUGGUCCAGUUUGUGACUGCAAAAGAAAUAGUGAUGUAAUGGACUGUGUAAUUCUCGAUGAUGGUGGGUUUCUUUUAAUGGCAAAUCAUGAUGAUUAUACUAACCAGAUCGGAAGAUUUUUUGGAGAGAUUGAUCCAAGUUUGAUGAGACACCUAAUUAAUAUAUCGGUCUAUGCUUUUAACAAAUCUUAUGAUUAUCAGUCAGUGUGUGAGCCCGGUGCUGCACCGAAACAAGGAGCAGGGCAUCGCUCGGCAUAUGUGCCAUCAAUAGCAGACAUAUUACACAUUGGCUGGUGGGCCACUGCAGCUGCCUGGUCUAUUCUACAGCAGUUUAUCUUGAGUCUGACCUUUCCACGACUCCUUGAGGCAGUUGAGAUGGAAGAUGAUGACUUUGCAGCCUCUCUGUCAAAGCAGAGUUGCAUUACUGAACAAACGCAGUAUUUCUUCGAUAAUGAUAGUAAAUCAUUCAGUGGUGUAUUAGACUGUGGAAACUGUUCCAGAAUCUUUCAUGUAGAAAAACUUAUGAACACCAACUUAGUAUUCAUAAUGGUUGAGAGCAAGGGGACGUGUCCUUGUGACACACGACUGCUCAUACAAGCAGAACAGACUUCUGAUGGUCCAGAUCCUUGCGAUAUGGUUAAGCAACCCAGAUACCGAAAAGGGCCUGACGUCUGCUUUGAUAACAAUGACUUGGAGGAUUAUACCGACUGUGGCGGCGUUUCCGGAUUAAAUCCCUCCCUGUGGUCCAUCAUUGGAAUCCAGUUUGUCCUUCUUUGGCUUUUAUCUGGCAUCAGGCACUGCCAGUUAUGACCUUCCAAAACCAAAUCUGCAUAAUUAAACUCCAGACCCUGCCAAAACAUGAGCCCUCAAAUGCAUUAACAUAGGGUCAACCAUGGAAUCAGCAGAGCAUUAGCUGGGCCCAUCACACGGCAUAAAACUAAGGCGCAGACUCCUAAGGCGCCCACUGGCUGCAUGUCAGGGUGCCAGAUCCUUAAACUUGUAUGAAUGUUGCAUUAUUCAUGUAUAACAUCAAAGCGAAACUUUAUAUGUGCUCUACUGGAAAAUUUGAGAGUUUGUUGUUGCACUGUAUGUGAUUAAUUGUAAAAGGGCUCCCCACACAACUGUUUGUGAAUCAUACAAAUUGUCUUGAUUUUGACCUGGAAUUUUGACUUACUGUAAUCCUUGUUCUUUAACCAAGAAAAUCUCUAGGGGAAAAGAUGUUUCUUUUUUGCCUUCCCUUAUUCUUCUGUUAAAAAUUACUUCCUGUUUUGAGUAGUUAUUAUUGAAAUAUAUAUAUAUAUAUAUAUAUAUAUAUAUAUAUAUAUAUAUAGAGAGAGAGAGAGAGGAUUAACAUUGAUGUAAUCUUUUGAAAUAGAUAUAAUGGUCAAUUUUCUAUUUUAAAAAAUUGCCAUGAAUAAAAUGCCUUAUGAAGAAUGGCUUCUCUGCCAAAAAUAUAAUACAAAUGAUGACCAAUUAAGUUUUGGUGGGGUGAUAAAUUGGUUAUUUGGAAAUAUAACUAGGAAAUUACUAAACUAAAGGUGCUUGAGGGUGAAAUUUGAAUGUGUGACAUAUUUCCUCCUAAAUGUAAGCCCUUAAUAAGUGCUUCAAUGUAACGUCCCUUUUGUUCACAGUAAAGUUAUGUAGUGCUAGCCAGAUAUUUCAACAUGCUCUAAGAAAAGCUUGUUGGGGGAGGGGAAAAUGUUUUUCUUGUGAUAAAUGAACUUUGGUUACCAAGGGUAUUUUGCAUGAUGCUGCUGCUAUUUUAACAUUUUGUUUUUCUCUUACUGUAGAGGAUAGUCCAUUGAAAAGUUAAAUGAGUGACAUCACUGUUACAUAAGAUUCUGAACCUUGCAGUGUAAUGCACUUAAGUCAUCUUUAAAAAUGUUGUAAAGCUACUCUGAAUAUACUGUGCAAUGUAAAUGCUGAAUGAUUGGGUUAGAUAAAUGGUGAAAUGGGAAUUAACAGAUUUUAUACAGAUUCGUGCUUUUGCCUGAAAGCCUAUGUACAGAUAUUUUAAGUACAUAAAUCAGAAUUGACACAUUUAUUUUUUGAAAAGUACAUAUAUGUUCUCAAUGAAGAUUCAUCCUAGGUUUCCUCUUUGUUCUUUUGAAUAGUGGCAUGUACAAUCCAAAAAUUUCUACUGCUGCUGCUACUUUUCCCUCCAUUUUUAAUGGUAUGAUCACUUGACCAAAAUUUCCAUGCAGAAUGAUGAGGGUUUUACAAUAAUCUGAACAAAUAGGAAACCUUGAAUCUAUAUGUAUGCACAUGAAUACUUGAUUAUGAAUAAUCAAAAUUGUUUUUAUACAGCCUCAUUGGUAAAAAUGGUUAGCAUAGUGAAUCAGAUAUUUCAUAAUAGAUUAAUAUGGAAGCAGAAUAUUAUUUAUGUUUUUAAAACUUAUUUUCAGGUGUAAACAGUAUUUGAAGAAAGGGUAAAAACAAUGAAUGUGUAACUCUAGUUGUAGUGAAUAAUUCUGCUGAAGGCUGGAAGUGUGCUGAUAUUUUUUAUGGUAAAAUGUAUUUGUUCUUUUUUUUUUUUUGAACAUGCCAAAUAUUGGUUUGUGUAUAUGCUGGAAAUUUUCUUAAAUAUCAUUUUUUAAGCCAAAAUCUUAUUAACAUUAUCCAGCAUGCUUUAAUAUGCUCACAUAUCAAACAUAUAAACAAUUCUUUAGCACAGCUUAAAAGAUAUAUUUGUUUUGUCUUUAGCUUUGCAUACAUUUGUAAUUUUCUCCUACUGCCAAUAUACCCUAGGUACCAUUUGCAUACAUUUCCUUACUUAAAAUAUUUUUUAUUUAAAAAUGGGCGAAGGGGGAAAUGGAUUCACUUUGCCAACUGUUGCUCUAGAGUUAACAUCAGUUACCAUUUCUAAUGCAUUGUUGUGAUUUUGUAGUCUCAUUUGUAACUGGUAUUGACAUUUUAGAAAACACCAAAGUGAUUUAAAAAAACAGAACUUCUCACUCUAGUAACAACGUUUAAAUCAUGUUGUUUGUUAAUUCAAUAUUUAAAUCUUAUUGUUAACUUUUGCUAGACUUUUAAAUCAUGAAAGUGUUGGGAAGGGGAUAUCAAAACAUAAAAUUAUGUUAAUUUGUGUAAAUAAGCAACACAUUGAAAAAAUUAAAUUGCUUCCAGCAUACAACAAACUACCUUAAAAUUAUCUUUAAAACCCAUUAAAUAUAUUUUCAUGGCUAAUGUCACUGAAAUUGUAUGUAUUCAUCAACUACAUUAUUGUUGUAUUAAUCAUGGUUAAAUGUGGCAUCUCUUGGCAGGGUCCUAUUUGAUUUCAUUUGCCAUCAAAAUAUACCUACAUGCAUGAGUCUUGCUAUGAUCCUUUACUUUCUGCUAUAAAUAAACUAAUAUAUUAGGACAGCCACAUGAUUAUAAAUUGGGUAAGAACGUGCGCUCUAAAAAUUGUUCUGAAUCCUAAUACUAGUCUCCAUGCCUUUAGUAGACUUACUAUUUUAUAAGACAGUAACAUUCAUCCCAUCAAAUUGUUAUAUUUAAUUUAGGAUUUUUCUGUGAGUUCUCAUUGUUGACAAGAGCUUAAAUUAUAGUAUAUUAUAAACAUUGAUUUUCAAAGACUAAACAGUACAAGAGAUCAAGAAAAAAAGCUUUUAAAACCUUCACUUAUUUAAUUUUUGCUAUCCUCAUGCAGCUUUAUGUAGUUUGCCAUUAAAAUAAAUUCAAAUAAGUCUUGCAUUGGUGUUGAGUUACAGGAGCAAAUUUUGCAUUAAUGGUUUUCUUCAUUUGAACAACCAGCAUUACUGCCAAACACCAAUCGUGGUCCAUAUUUGUAACAGGUUUUUAACAUGACAUAGCAAGUUUGAUUGAAGAGAUUUUUAGGUCCUGGGCCUAUAAGAUUUUAGUAUGAUCUUUUUUCAUGUUUCUAAUGCUUGAGGCAUUAUUGCUUAACUUGGAAAAAAACUAAACAGUGUUGCUGCCAUUUGUAAGUUUUCUUAUAAUAUUCCUUUUAUUAACUUUAAAAACUGGCCUUACUGGGUUCAAAUAGUCAGUAUCCCUUUUAAGUGGCCUUUGCAACCCAAGUGUUACUUGCUUAUUUGAUGCUCUUGUAUUUUCCAUCUCAUUUAAAUCUUCAUCUCCACCAAAGCUUAAAUUCUGUCUCAAUUUAAAACUCUAAACUAUUCCAUUGAUCAUGUCAGUUAAUAUUAAAAUAUCUAGAGGUAUAGAGUCUGAUCCAGUGAAAAAUGGAUGUAGUGAUUUCUUUAAGUGUAAAAUAGAAUGAUUAUUUCACUUGCUCACAAUUUCAAAUAUUCUAUUAUUAUCUGGAACUUGUAUUGUUUUCCCAUAGCAGAAUGUUAAUAUUGCUAAUAAUCAGUUUGCAUUUAUAUAAAGUGCAACUCAAUAAAUCAAAUGCAUCAAGUGUUGAAAAUAAUUCUAGAACUUCAAAGACUUAGACAACCCUUACCAAUAAUUUCAUGUACUUUACUCAUAUAGCUCAAGUAAUUCACUCGAAGAAAAUUCCUCUGAGACUAAUGGGAUACUGUCUUGUAUAGAUGCCAAUUGAGUUUACAGUGUGACCUGACAAAGCUAUCUUUUUUGUUGUGCUGUAUGAUUGUUGGAUCAUGCUUUUUAGGAUACUUUUAUUAAAAUGCUCAGUGUGCAUCCAUGCAAAAGGCCAAGAGGCUUUGUGAACAAAAGAUCUUUUCUCCCAUUUAUUAUGUUCUCUUGACACUUUUGUGGAAAUUAACUAGCCUGAUAAAAACAUUUUGUAAAAAUUUGUAUGAUACUGUUAUAAAAAAUAUUUAUAAUCCCAGAAAAUGUUGUGUUAAAUCUUGUGCAAAAACAGUAUAUUCAGAAUAAAAGUUUAUCAUUUAAAGUCAAAAAAAAAAAAAAA